UACGUAGGGGGCAAGCGUUGUCCGGAAUCAUUGGGCGUAAAGAGCGCGUAGGCGGCCCAGUAAGUCCGCUCUGAAAGUCAGGGGCUCAACCCCUGGAUGCGGGUGGAUACUGCUGGGCUAGAGUCCGGAAGAGGUGAGUGGAAUUCCUGGUGUAGCGGUGAAAUGCGCAGAUAUCAGGAGGAACACCAAUGGCGAAGGCAGCUCGCUGGGACGGUACUGACGCUGAGACGCGAAAGCGUGGGGAGCAAACAGG
rnacentral:rRNA from 1 species